rnacentral:rRNA from 1 species
AUGCCCUCGUUGCCGGCCGUGGCGCCCCGACGCCACUUCCCUCGGCCCCAGCUGCGCCCCCCGCGGUGCCUGACUCCUCUGGUAGCGCGCGUGGUAGCCGUGGCCGCCGCCGCGGCCGUGGCAAUGGCACUGGCGGUGCGCCUUCGCCGCAGCCGCCGCCCCGCGUCCCCGGCUUGCCCGCUCCCGCGCCCGGCACCAACUCCUGGACCGGGCUCGUUCAGGCGUGGCCCAUGCCCUGGCGCGCCCCCGGUACCGGCGUGCUCGGUCCUCGCCCCGGGACUCCGCCUCAACAGGCCAUGUACGCCGCUCCCGCGCCGCCCCUUCCCGUCGGUUACGGCUACGGUGGCUACGCUCCUGCUGGGUACGUUCCCGGCUACGCUCCACCGCCUCCUGGUGCGCCACAACAGCCCCUGGACAUGGCCUCUCUCCAGGCUGCGCUUCACAGCGCCACGGCAGGGCCGUCGUCCUCCGGCAGCUCCGACUGGUACAUGGACUCUGGCGCGGCCGCCCACAUGA